GACGAACGCUGGCGGCGUGCUUAACACAUGCAAGUCGAACGGAAAGGCCCUGCUUUUGUGGGGUGCUCGAGUGGCGAACGGGUUAUUAACACGUGAGUAACCUGCCCUUGACUUUUUGAUAUCUUCAGGAAACUGCGUCUCAUACCCGAUAGGCGCUCCUGCUGCCUGUUGGGGGUUGGAAAGUUUCGGCGGUUGGGGAUGGACUCGCGGCUUAUCAGCUUGUUGGUGGGGUAGUGGCUUACCAAGGCUUUGAAGGGUAGCCGGCCUGAGAGGGUGAACGGCCUGAAAGGGAAAGAGAUAAGGACCAGAAUACUACAGGAGGCAGCAGUGGCGAAUAUUGCAAAAACGGCGGAAGCGCGAUGCAGCAACGCCGCGAGCGGGAUAACGGUCUUUGGGUUGUGAAACGAUUUCGCCUGUGACGAAGCGUAAGUGACGGGAAUGGGUAAAGAAGCACCGGCUAAAUACGUG
rnacentral:rRNA from 1 species